UUAUAAAAUCGUUAUUUUCUAGAGAAACAUAGACAACAAAGGUUCCAAGCCUCUUUGACCAUCAUCAUAUGUUAGUUUAAGAUGCAACUAUGCAUUAAAACACUAUUUUUAUAUGUUUGAUUUAUUUUCAAAAUUUAUGUAUAAAUUCAUAUGAAAUAUUGAGUUUUACGUUAAACGCUCUAUAUAGUGAAGCCUAAACUUUUUUUAGUGUUGUUUUAAAAUUUCUAACCACAUUCUCCAUUUGUAUUAAUGUAUGUUAAACUCUCUUUCAUGGUAUAUGAGAAUCGUUAUAACUUUCUUAUCAAUUAAUUUAGUAAAACUUCAUAAUACUCCCUAAAUAGGUGGAAUAACCACUAUAGAAUCACUAUUUUCUUGAAAAACAGAG
rnacentral:lncRNA from 1 species